AAACACAAAUGAAUCAAAACUUUCAACAACGGAUCUCUUGGUUCUGGCAUCGAUGAAGAACGCAGCGAAAUGCGAUAAGUAAUGUGAAUUGCAGAAUUCAGUGAAUCAUCGAAUCUUUGAACGCACAUUGCGCCCUCUGGUAUUCCGGAGGGCAUGCCU
rnacentral:rRNA from 1 species